AAGUCGAACGAGAAAGGGAGCAAUCCUGAGUAAAGUGGCGCACGGGUGRGUAACACGUGGGUAUCUGCCCUCUGGUGGGGAAUAACUCUGGGAAACCGGAGCUAAUACCGCAUAAGACCGGGAGGUGAAAGGCGAAAGUCGCCGGAGGAGGAGCCCGCGGCUGAUUAGCUUGCUGGUGAGGUAAAGGCUCACCAGGGCUGAGAUCGGUAGCCGGCCUGAGAGGGCACACGGCCACACUGGCACUGAAACACGGGCCAGACUCCUACGGGAGGCAGCAGUGGGGAAUCUUGCACAAUGGGGGAAACCCUSAUGCAGCGACGCCGCGUGAGCGAUGAAGCCCUUCGGGGUGUAAAGCUCUUUCGACCCGAAAGAUGAUGACGGUACGGGGAGAAGAAGCUGCGGCUAACUACGUGCCAGCAGCCGCGGUAAUACGUAGGCAGCGAGCGUUGUUCGGAGUUACUGGGCGUAAAGCGUGCGUAGGCGGUGUUCCAAGUCUGUUGUGAAAUCUCCCGGCUYAACCGGGAGGGUGCGSYRGAAACUGGGWUGCUGGAGUGCSGGAAAGGUAAGCGGAAUUCCCGGUGUAGCGGUGAAAUGCCGUAAAUAUCGGG
rnacentral:rRNA from 1 species